AGACAAACAGGGAGAUGAAGAUGAAACACAGAGACAUAAAAGAGUCGCUUAGGGAAAUGAUAAAGAGAAGGGAGAAGGCAAUUAAAGCAGGGGAAGAGAGCAAUGAGGACUUGUUGGACAUACUUGUGGAAUCCAAUAUCAGAGAAAUGGAAGCAAAGAAUAUGGGGAUGAGCAUUGAGGAUGUGAUUGAGGAAUGCAAGCUGUUUUACUUUGCUGGCCAAGAGACCACUUCGGUCUUACUGGUGUGGACUAUGGUUUUAUUAGCAAGGUAUCCCGAUUGGCAAAGUAAAGCAAGAGAGGAGGUUUUGCAUGUUUUGGGUGACAAUAAACCUGAUGCUGAUGGCCUUAAUCGUCUCAAAGUUGUAAGUCCCUAGCAUGUCUUUUGAAGGUCCGAUCAAUGAGGUCGACAACUCAAAAACUUUGUUUCUUUUUUCGCUAAUUCUACAGGUAACGAUGAUAUUGUACGAGGUUCUAAGGCUGUACCCACCGGUGGUUGAGCUAGGACGUUCCGUUCCAAAAGAAAUAAAACUGGGGAAUUUGUUGUUACCAGUAGGAACAGAAGUUUCGGUUCCGAUCCUGCAGAUCCACCAUGACAAAGAUCUUUGGGGUAACGACGCACGGGAAUUUAAGCCAGAGCGGUUCGCGGAAGGGGUUUCCAAAGCAACAAAGAGUCAAGUCACGUUUCUGCCAUUCGGAUGGGGUCCUAGGAUCUGUAUUGGCCAAAAUUUUGCUUUGAUGGAAGCCAAAAUGGCGAUGGCUAUGAUUCUCCAACGCUUCUGGUUCGAGCUUUCCCCUUCCUAUGCUCACUCUCCUUACAGCAGGGGAACUCUUCGUCCACAGCAUGGUGCACAGAUAAUUUUACAUAAACUUGGCUGUAAUUGAAUUGUUAUGUAAACAAAUCUUUGUGAAAACAUAGCGUUUUAGUGUAUCGUCAAAGUCCGGUGUCUGUAAUGGUACAAAUUCGAUGCAUGAAUAGUAAAUUUUGAGAUGUUUGGUGAAGUCCGAAAUAAUAUGCAGAAAUUGAGCGUCUAUGGUGGACAUAGUUGAGGGACUAAUGUGGUAAUUAUCAAUCAAAUAAUUCGGUACAAAGACUUGUAUGGAAAUUAAAGCAGGGGGAGUUGAAAAUGACUACUCUGCUUUGGGCAUCAAUUUAGAAAGAUUUAAAGUACAACUGUGUUAUCAGUUAAGGGAUUUGUUUUAAAGAGGGAAUGACAAUUAAACCUCAUGGUUUAUUUGUGCAAGGGAACCGAUGAUGGGAUGAUUAUUCUUAGUGGUAAAAAAAACCAUUAUGGAGGUUAUUACACUUGUUAUCAUCAGCUUAAAAUUCGAAUGGGUUCAAGUCGGAUUAUAUCGAGCUUGUAAGAUGAGUUCACGGACCAAGUUUGCAUAAUAAAAUACCUAAAUGAAAAAAAAUUCUAUUUUAGAGGGACGAGAGCCCCUAUCAACUCCCGGCUCAGCCACUAAACAAUACCUAUAUCAUAUAAAUAAAUACCACCAUCUAAAAGACUCAAAGAAAAACACUCAACAAAGGAUAAAUAGAUAGAUGUUGGAUAAGUGUCCAAAAUAUGAUUUAAGUGAAGAUACAUGUGGUAGGUGUUACGGAAAUGUGAAGACAAGAAUCCCACUAACGUAUGGGAUGUGUGCAGUUGAAUGUAGGGAGCAAAAAGAGGAGUGAAUCAUUUUGGUAACAUUUGGACAAGAAACAUAAUGAACAAAAUGGAAGGAGAGGAAGCUAGUAAAAGAAUUUUUUUGGGUCAUAUAAUUUGUUCAUUUUGGAGUUGAAUUAUAAUUUUUUUAUAUAUUAUUUUAAAAUUUUAAGGAGUUAAAACAAAAUUAUUUUAUUUUCAGAUGGUCAAAGUAGAGGUGAUAAUGGGUUGGGCUAUUCGGCCCGGCCUGACGAUUCACUCGAAAAAUAGGAGGGUUUAGGUAAAAAUAUAGGCUCGAAAUAGGGAUUUGAGCAAAAAAAGAGUCCCGUUUAGAAAAUGGGCCAGGCCUCGGGUAAAAUUUUUUGGGCCCAAGCCUGACCUGAAUUAUAUAUUAAAUAUAUUUUUUAAUUUUUAAUCAAAUAUACUUUUUUUUAUUAAUUUGGUUAUUAUUUUAGUUCUAAUUUGUUUCAAUUUUAAUAUAACCACUUUUUAUUAUAUUUUCAAUUUGUGUAUUGUUUUAAGAAUUGUUUUAGUCUCAUUUUUUUAUUUAUUUUUUGUUUUAAUAAUUGUUUUAAAAAUUUUUAUUUAAUGAAAUAAGCUAAAAAAAUUAAUAUGGGCUUGGCCAGGCCAGGCUCGGGCCUAGUAAUUUUCUUUUGGGCCGGACUUAGAUAAAAUUUUAAGCCCAUAUUUUAAAUUGGGUCCUAACCUAAAAAAUGAACCUAAAAUUUUAUAUGGGCCCGACUUGGCCCUUGAUUACCUUUAGGUCAGAGCUAUCCUCGUUUUGCAUUUCUUUGAGAUUCAGCCUUAUCUACUGUGAUUGCCCACUCAAUUGAGGGUUGAGUAGAAAGAUUUGGUGAAGCAAGCUAAGCUAUCAAUCAAGGUUUGCAUAAUUAUUUAAAUGUAAUUCUAAUAUUAAAAUAAUUUUUUUAUUAAUAUAGUAUCAACAAGCAUUAAAUGUAAUGAUCAUAUACUAUUACAUUUUAAAGAAGAGAAAACAUGUUUGAACUUUAAAAACCACGUUACUAAAAACAUUAUCACAAACCUUGAAAUAUAAAAAAUAAUUUUUUUAAUAUAAUAAAAAAUUAAUUUUAAACCCGAGCUGAAUAAAAUUCUAAUUUUAGUUAAUGAUACGAACAACAAAUCAAUAUUCUAAGCCCGAGCCCUGCUCAUUUUUUUAAUAAACACCAAAAAUUUAUUUUGAAAAUAAAAAAUAAAAAAAAUAUUUUAAAAAUAUUUUAAAAAUAAAAAAAAUUAAAAAUAAAUAUUUAUUAUAUAUUCAGGCCGGGCCGGGCUAGCCUUGGGCUAAAAAAAUGGUGCCCGAGGCCCGGCCCAUUUUCUAAAUAGGCCUCAUUUUUUGUCCAAACCCAUAUUUUGGGCCUAUAUUUUUACCCGAACCUCUCAUAUUUUGGGCGGACCGUCGGGCCGGACCGGGCCGCCCGGCCAUGAACACCUCUAGGGCAAAGUCACUCAAUGAAUGCAUGGAAAGAAAUAUUGCAACUUGGUGACAGCUUUUGUUGGAGUUAUAUGCUUUUUUUUACAUAGUGGAACUUUCGGUGGAUUUUCAAGUUUCAUGAACUUUAUACCCUAGGCUUUACGUGAAAAAAAUCAUUGGACUUAAAAGUCUACCAAAAGUUUCACUAUAAUAAAUAAAUAAAUAAAUAACAUUGCUACAAGACUACAACAUAAAGUUACAAUAAGAGCUUAUAACUCAACAAAGGCUAUCAAUAAAUAAUCUCAAGCAAGCUAAAGAGAAAUGUUGAGAGUACCACUCAAAUAGUGAUUGACUUUAAAAAUUGAAAACCCGAAGUUAUUGUUGACACCAUUUUUUGGAUGAAAAUGUGUCGACUUGGGUUUUGAAAAUGAAAACGAAAACGAGAGUCGCCACCAAUCCUUUUUGAUAAGGUGUGACUGGGUCACCUUGAAAAGUGGUUGUUUUUAAUAAACGAUUUGAUUUUAUUAAAACAACAGUUUUGGUCCACGAAAUUCAGAAAAAUGAGUUCGGGAGUCGGUUACGCACGAGGAAGGAUUAGCACCCUCGAUACGCCCAAAAUUGGUACCUAGUUGAUUACUUAAUGUCUUAAUGUCGAAAAUUGAAAACUUUGGAGAAUUUUAAACAUACGAUCCUUGUAUUAAAACGUUAAAAAUUUUCAAGAAAAUGGGAUAUUUCACGUUAUUCGAUAAAGAGAAUCAUAUCCUAGUAAGUUAGGACACAAUAUCUCGAAUUUCCGAUAUCAUUUAAAACUUGAGUUUGAAAAGAUUCGUGUAAUAAAGUUUAAAAUAAUAUUCAAUUGUUUAAAUCAAAUGAAGAAAUCGCAACCCAAUACGUUAGGGCACAAUUUCUCAAAAUAUUAAACAUUGAAUAUUGCAUUUAUUUCGAAAAAUCCUCAUCUCGAGAAAACGUGUCACAUCCAAUGCAUUAGAAUACAACGUAUUGAAUUCUCGAUAACGAGCUUUUUCUCAUUUUUUAAAAGAGUAAUCUCGAUUAUUUAGGUUCAACGAAGAAAAUCAAAACCCAAUACGUUAGGGCUCGAUUUUCUCAAAGAUUCCAAAUACCGAGUAUUACUUAUAUUUUUAAAAUUUCUUUUUUGAAAUCCGAGUAAAAAUGAAUGCAAAAUAAUAAAUGAUGACAAUGUAAAUAAAAUGAUACAAGCAAAACAAUAAACAAUAAAAAUAAUCAUACGGGCAAGGUAACAAAUAAUUAGGAACUAAAGAAAGAGAACAAACAAUAAUAAACAUGCAAAUAAAUGAACAAAAUUAACAACAUGAUGCAAAUAUGAAAGAUAUAUAAGCACAUAUAUAUACAUAAAAUAAUGAGAAUAUGAAAAAAUGUGUGUAAUUGGACAUGUUUCGGAAUUAUUAUACAUUUAAAAAUCAUGUAAAUGUGUGUACAUACAUAUAUACAUAUAUAAUAAUCAUUAAAUAUAUAAAAAUACAUAUGUGUAGGUAUAUAUGAGUCAUAAAAUGUAAAGAAUAUAUACAAGAUAUAUUUUGAACGUAUAAAGUAUAUGUAAAUGUAUAUAUAUAAUAAAGGUGUAUGAAAGCAUAUUUUAUAUACGUGUAUUUAUAAAAUGUAUAUAAAUGUAUAUUGAUUUACCAAUACAUAUGGAUUUAUAAUUAUAGAAUAUAUAUAAAAUAUUUACAUAUAUACGUUUAUGCAUAUAUAAAAGUAAGUUAUUAUAAAAUAUGAGCAAGCAGAAUACAUAAAUAUAUAUACAUAAAAUAAAAAUGAAGAUGAAAAUAAUAUAAAACUACUUAAUAUAUUAAUAUAAUAGUAACAAAUUAAAAAAACAGAAAAUAAAGCUAAUAAUAAUUAAUAAUAGUAGUAAUAAUUAUAGCAGCAAUGAUAAUGAUAAUAAUAAUAACACUAAAAAAAUUAAUUAAAUAAUAAAAUUGCUAAAAAGGGAUUAAAUCGAAAUAAAAACAUAAAUACUGGGCGAUUUUGAAAUAAAAAACGGGAAGGACCGAAUUGCAACGCGCGUUGAAAAGGAAAGGGCCAAAACUGCAAAUAAACCACAGCCCCAAAACGCAGCGUUGAAAUGGACCAAGUCGAAAUAAAAAUAAAAUUGCAGGGGCUAAAUUAAAAAUAAGAGAAAAUAACGAAAAAUGAUCAAAUUGUAAUACGCUGCAAAAUCAGGGGGACUGCACGCGCAAAUAGCCCAAAAACUGAAAACACGCGGAUCCUCCGGGUCGGGUCGGGUCGGGUCAGGUCGACGUGCGGAUCCCCUUUGCUAAAACGGCGUCGUUUCAUGUUUAAUAUAAAUACUAAAAAAAGCUAAAAAAAACAGUUUCAUCUUUUUUUAAAAAAAACAGAGAGAAAACUCUCUCUUUUUCCCUCAGGUCCGGCCAUGGUCCGGCUUGGGAUUUCCGACGAGUCUCCGCCGCAAAGCCACCGUGUGUGGCGGCCGGAGGUUCAAAAUCAGACCUUUUUGGUCCUUUUUUAAAGUCCAUGGCCUCCAAGCCACAGAUCCGGGGCUGAAUCUCCUGAAUCGAAAGCCGAAGACCCAAAAAAUGGGGUGAAAUCCUUCGCCUUCCUCCCCCUUCCGGCGCUGCGCAGGUAAGGUUUUUUUUAACUCCUUUUUUACUAUCUUUAUUUAUAUAUAUACAUGAAGAGAAAAGAGAGCAAAAUAAAUAAAUAAAUAAAAACUUCAAAACUGAAGAGAAAAAGACCUUGAAUCUGCCUUAUUUAUUUUCUUUCGGUUGAAUCUGUUUUUGUUUGUUACAAAAGUUUCCAGGGAAGAGAAAAAAAAAGAGAGUUACAUGCUUGGCUUUUAUAGCCGAUAUUAAUUUCUAUUUUUUGUUUUCUUUUUCCUUUCUUUUCUUUGGCUGUUGCGUGUUUGCUUCCUUAUUGCAGGGUGAUUGACGGGAGUGGUUGGCGACAGAGUCGGUGGCCACUUGCACUGAUGAAGCAGCGGUGGCGGCGCUAGGGUAGGCUAGGGACGGCGGCAGUACUAGGGUUUCAGAAAACUGAAACCCUAGUUUGACAAAUUGGUUUCGGGCCUGUUGGGCUUUAAAUUAUGGGCUUUGUAAUUGGGUUUUGGGUUUAGGUGAUUUGGGUUUAGGUGGUAUGGGCCCGGGUCAAAUUUUGGGUAAUGGGAUUGGGGCAAAAUUGGGUUGUACAGUUAUAAUAUCCCAAACGAAAUCAAACUAUAAACAUUAAAUUUUUCGAGUCUUCUAGAUACUGUAAAAAAUUCAGCUCCAACGGACACCAAAUGAACCUAUGAUCGAAGAAAAUACGAAGACUAGUCUGGCUAAAUCAAUCUGCCAAACUUACUUUUUAUCUUAUCUUUAAUUUGCUGUGAAAUUCAAAACUACGUGUAAUACUCAAUUUAUGCUCGACCCAUUUUGUUAAAACAAAUAAAAAAGAAAAGAAAAACAAAAUAUUUAAAUUUAGCCCAAAUGUCCAUUUACACAGCCCAAUUACAAUUGCAAAUAAAAAAAACUAAAACUAAACCCGAUCCUAAGCAUCAGCCCAAAUUCGACCCAUGCCCAAAACGAAUUCAGAUGCAGAAACCCUAGCCCAGCCUUAAUGCAAGCAAAAGUCGAAAGCCCUAAUAGUUGGUGCGCCGCUCCUGUAACAGCCCGAUUUUGGGCCUAGUCGGAACAGUGGUUUUGGGACCACAAAUCCGACGAGAAAAAAAUGUAAUGGCCCGAAUUUUCAGAGGUGUCAGAACGGUGAUUCGAGAUCACUAAAUUCGACAAAUGGGUAGAAAAUAUUAUUAAUUUAGUAAGUAUAAGUUAAAUGUGAAGUUAGGAAAAUUUUUGAAAUGGUGAAUAGUACACUAGAAAUAAAUAUUAAAAUAAUUAGAAUCGAAAAUGAGGUAUCGAGACCUCGGGGAUUUUAAACCGAGCCAUAAAUAUUUUUAUAAAUAUUUAUGUAGUCUUAAAAAGUUAGUAUUAAAGUUUCGUUAAGAAAUUUUAAAGUUCCGAUAAUUAAUUGAACAAAAAGGACUAAAUUGUAACAAAUACAAAAUUAUGAGAAAUGAUUAAAUAGUUUAAAUGAUAAAAGGAAGAGGGCUUAAAAGGUAAAUAGACCCAAGGUCUAUUUGGGCUGCACGGCAAAGGCAUGAAAUCAGCAACAAAGUAAGGAGAAUUAAGGGCAAAAUUGGAAUAUUGCAAAAUUUACUUAAUAAAGUUAGGACCAAAGUGGAAUUAUCUAGAUUUCUCUUUAUUUUUCUGCAUUAUCAUCAGCAUAAACACCAUAGAAGGGUUUUCUUAAGCUGGUUCUUCCUAUUUUUACUGCAGGUAAGUUCAAUUCUUGAUUAUUUCUUGAAAAUUUUGUGUUUUUGUGACUUUUACAACUAGGCCCACUUAUUGUAUUCAUUAGUUUUUGAUUCUAUGAAAGAAGUUGAAAGUUGCUAUGAAUACAUGCUGGAAGUAUAUGAUGAUUUAGCAUGGAAUUAGAGCUUUAAAUUGUUCAUAUGCUGAUUUAUUGAAAGAAUUGAAUAGAAAGUGAAUGUUUGGGACCUAAUAGUAAAAGAGUUUGAAGAUAGAGUUAUAUGUGGAAAUUCUGAAUUUCAAUAGUUGUGAAACAACUUAUAAUGUCUAGGUUAAGUAUUAAUUGAGAAAAUUAAAUUAAUUGAGGGGUUAAUUGAGAAAGGACCGAAUUGUAUAAACUGUGAAAUUUGGGGCAAAAAGGAAAUCAACAUUUUACACUAAAGCAGUUUUGGACAGCAGCAGUAGUAUAACUUUGAAAAAUCACCAAAAAUUUUGAGAAUUGAAUUAGAGGGUGAAUAAAAUAUAAAAUUAAAGCUCCUUGAAUCUAGUUUCUCAUAGAAGAAACGGUGUAAGCAAUGGAAUUGUAAAUCAUGAGAUAUAAUAAAUUUUGUGAGACAAUGUCAUAAUGAUUUCGGGUUCCCCUAUUCUGACUUUGGAAAAUCAUCAAAAAAUUAAGAAAAAUAUGAGUUAUAAUUUAUAUGAUUACAAUCCUUAAUGAGUCUAUUUUCAAAGAAAAUAAACGGAAAUAUCAUCCAAAUUCUGUACAAUUAUAUAAUUCAUUUUUAGUGAAGAGUGGUCGAAACUGUCAGACAGCGAAAUAGGGGGAACUUUAAAGAAUAAACUGUACUAUUUGGCUGAACCAAAAAUUCUGAAAAUUUUAUGGUAAGAAGGUAUGUGAGUCUAGUUUUAAGGAAAAUUAACGGAUCUUAAUUUAGAGCUCUGUAGCUCUAGAUAAAAAUAAUUUAGUGACUCUGACUCAGAUAAAUAGCUUUGAAUGUACAUGUGAGUGAAUAGUGAAAUUAUAGCUAGUGUUGUUUAAGUGUGUUAUACACAUUAAGGAUAUGGAAUGGAGAGGAGGAGGAGGAGGAAAAAUUGGGAAAUAUAUGAAUGAUUUGUGUAUAAUUGGUCAUAUGCUUAAUUAUAAUUGAUAAACGAUGAAAUAGAAAUGAUGCAUAUAUUUGUGCAGUAUUGGUCAUGGUUUAAGCUCAUGUGGGAAAAUAAAGUUUAUAGUACGUGUGUAUUAUAUUUUUGGUAUAUGAUUUGGCAUUAAGUAAUGUCGUGAAUGGAUAUUGAAUUAACACAUGUUGGAAAGUUUGAUAUAUGAAUAAAUAUUGUGAUCAUGAAAGAGUGUUACAGCUCCUGCCUUCAGCACGCGUCGAGCCUCCGCGCCAAAUCCACGUGAGCCUCCGUACACUCCAACUAGCCUCCGUACCUGCAACAAACAAAAGUAGACAAAACAACAGCAAAGGAUAGGAAGAAAAGGCAGUAAAUAGUGAAGAUUUUUCUGUAAUUUUCUUUGGAUUUCAUUAUGUAUUUUCGGCUAUAAAAGAGCCAUUAGGAAUAUUUGUAAAGGGUUUUUUUUUUACCCUCACACACAAAGAGAAUAUACACGCAUACAAGAUCAAUAUAGAGAAAGAAAUAAAAAUAAAUAAAUACAAAGAAUAGAAAAUCAAGUUUCGAAGGUGAUUCUUUGAAAAAUCCUUUUCGUUUUUCUCAUUUUUCCUUUUUCCUGGAUCUUUUGUUCAUUUCAAGUAAAAAAAGUAUAGAAAGGAAACAAGUUUAGAGGAAGGAGGUUUACCUGGACGCCGGACCUCGCUCGCCUCGUCGAAAUCGAAGGCUGAGAGGGGAUAAAUCGGUUUUGCGGCAGAAGGAAAGGGGGGCUAGGGUUCUUGUUUUAACUUUUUUAAAAAAAAUAGAAAAGGUUGCUAAUUAGGUUUUAAUGGGGGAUUUAUGUGUGUUAAAAAAACGACGUCGUUUAGCGACCUUUGACCCGUGCGGUGACCCGACCCGAGGAAAGGAUCUGCGCGUUUUGGGUCUGAUGGGUUUAUUGCGCAACAAGCCCUUCCGCAUUUGUUUUUCGUUUCAAUUCGGUUUUUAUUUGUUUUUUAAUUGUUUUCUCAUAUUUAGUUCCAAUUUCAAUUGGGUCCAUGAUUAAACGACAUCGUUUUCAUUGAUUGGGUUUGAAGGCCUGGUUUUGUGCGUCUAAAUUGCAGCAAUGGUCCCCCUGAUGUGCAAUAGUUCUCGAUUUAGUCGUCUCCACACUUAUUUCAAAGUCGUCCUUGAGAUUUUGUUUUAUUUUUGAAAUUGUCCUUGUCUUCUUUUAAUUUAUAAUGAUAUUAUUAUUAUUGUUGUUGUUAUUAUUACUAUUAAUAUGGGUAUUGUUAUCAUGUUAGUUUAUAUCUAUUUAUUUACUUUUAUUUUAUUAUGUAUUAUUAUAUAAUGCUUUUAUCAUGUAUCAUUUUAUAUAUUUUCUAUGUUAAUCUAAUAUGAUAUAUAUAUAUAUAUGUAUUUUUGUGAUCUUAUUUUAUAAUACUUUUUUAACCCAUUUAUAUGCCUUUAUGUUUUAAAGAUUUAUAAUAUUUUGUGCAAAACUAUUAUAUAUAUAUAUAGAUAUACAAUUUAUAUUAGACCAUUUUUAUCGUACAUAUACGUAUAUAUAAUUUAUAUUUUGAAACUCUAUUUUAUUAUAUUUUAUGCCUCUAUAUACAUCAUUAUAUGUUUAUUAUUCUUUAUAUUAAACCUGCCAUUUCACUUAUAUAUUUUUAAAACCAAUGUGUAUUAUUCUUUCUUCUUUGUUAUUUUUUAUCUCUUAAAAUAGAUUGAUAAUUCAUUUAAUUUUUGAAUGUUGUAUGACCGAGAUUAUCGUUGCCAUUCUUGUCCAAAUUUAUCCAUUGCUUGUUCAUAUUAUUUGAUAAUUUAUCGCUCACUAGCAUGUAUCGUAAUUUACGAAUUAUCAUUUUGAAUUAUGUACUACCAUUCAAUCGCAUUACAUUUGUUUGGAAAACAUCGAAAUCGUUUUGCACAUAAACCUUCAAAAUGCUUGGUAUCCAAAAUUCUCGAGAGGAUUGUGCCCUAAUUUAUUGGGCUUCAAUUCCCCUUUUUGAUUUUAAAUAACCGAAUACCCCUUUUUCAAUUUGAACAUAGAAAUUCCAAAAUAAAAAAAAACUCAUUCUCGGGAAUUUGAUGCGUUGUGUCCUAACGUAUUGUAUAUGACAUAUUUUUCUCGAGACGAGGAUUUUUCUAACAAAUAAAAAUAAAGGCAAUAUUCGAUAUUUAGGAAUUUUGUGAAAUCGAACCCUAACUUACUGGGUUUUGAUUUUUUCAUUUGACCCAAGUAGGAUAUCCUUCACAAAUGCACAGAUUUUAAAAAAUCAAAAGAUAAACUUAAUUUCGAGGAUUUAAAAUGUUACACUCUGACUUACUGAGUGUGUCAAUUUAUUUCUUUGAAAUAAGUGAGUCUUAUCAUCCAAUUUAUUUUAUUCAAAUUUUCUUUUCCAAGGAUCGUAUUUUAAAAUUUUUUCAAAAUUUCGACAUUAAGACAUUAAGCAAUCAAUUCAGUACCAAUUUUGGGCGUCACGAGGGUGCUAACUCUUCCUCGUGCGUAAUCGACUCCCGAACCAGUUUUCUCAAAAUUCACAGACCUAAAAUUAUUUUCAAGGUGAUCCGAUCACACCACAAUAAAAGAUCAGUGGUGACUCCCAUUCCUAUUUUUAAAAGUCGAUUCCUGUUUUUCAUAUAUAAAAAAAUGGUUUCGACACUACGGUUUUGUUUGUUUCCCUUAGAACAACUUUCAAAAAGUUAAUUUUGAAAAAUGGAUUGAAUUUUCAAAAUAGAUGAUAUUUUUUUGUGUUAAAAUUUUAUUCGUUGUUUGAAAAAAAAAUUUAAAUCAUUUUCUUAGAAUUAUUUUUAGUGAAACAAAUAUAUCAUAAAUAUAUUUGUUAUAAAAUAUUAUAUUAAUAUUUUCUUUUAACAAUUAAAAUAUAUUUUGUGAUAAGGUAAUAUUUUAUAAUAAUUAAUAUCAUAUAUACUUAAUAAUAAAUCAUGUCUAAUUAAAAUUUAAUUUCAAUUAAAUAUAUUAAUAAAGCUACAUUUAAUCAUAUUUUAUAUAAUUAAAAUAUUAAUAUAAAUAUUUUUCAAUAAUAUAUUAAAGAAUAUUUAAAAUUUAAAUUUAUUAUUACUAAGAUUAAUUAUUAAAACAAAAAUGUAAUAUUAAAUAAUUUAUCCAAUGAUAAGUUAUAUUAAUAAUUUAUUAUAUUAUUAAAUAUAAAUAAUUAAAUAUGUAUGUUUAAUAAUAUUAUGUUAUAAUAUUUAUUACUAAUAUUUUAAUAUUUUUAAACAACCAUGUUUUAAAGAUGGUGGUGAUGGUGAUGGUGCAGGCCCCCUUGUUAAAAUUACAAUAUUUUUAAGUGGGAUGCAUGUAAUAUAUUGUUAGGGUUUUAGAGUAUGUGGUCUUUAAAAGGGUUAAAUUAUAUAUUUAUAUAAUAUGAUUAUUGUUUAUAAACAUAAUAUUGUAGAUAAGUUUAUAUGUAUGUCAAUAUGUAUCCUACUCUAAGGUUAAUAUGUAUUUUUUAGAUGUGGGUUUACCUAUAUAAUAGUAUGAAUCCAUCAUGUGGUCUCAUGAAAUAUACAAACACAUAUCGUGCGAACACAAAGUACGAACAAUAAAAAAUACAAAUCAAGACCCAAUUGAAUAAUUGAAUAACGGAUAGGUAAUAAUGAAUAUCAUAACAUUUACUAUCCCCUCUUUUCUAGUGAGUUAUUGUUUAUGAUAAAUUUGCAACAAAUGUUUUUAUCAUUAUUUUGUUGGUAAAUGAUAAUAAGAUUAAACAUUACUUUCUUAAGCUCCUUCAAUUCUUUGGACGUUAGCGAGUAAACUUGAGCUUCAGCAUUCCACAAACACCUUAAUUUGAAGACACAGUUCUCUCAUACUAAAAACGACAUGGACGUUUACCUUGUAAUUAGAGAUUUGGGCUCAUUGUUGGGUUAUUAAUGAUACGGGGAUGGAGAGCUUUAAACUGGGUAUGGUUGGCCCCAAAGAGGCUCGAAACGUGCUUGAGACUAGAGGUGAUCAAGGGCCGGGUUAGGCCCAGUCUAGAAAAAAAAUUAGGCCCAUUUUUUAGAUUUGAACUCGGCUCGGCUCAAAAUAUAAGCUUAAAAAUUUGUCUAAGUUCAGUCCGAAAGAAAAUUGUUAAGCCCAAGCUCGACCCAUAUUAAAUUUUACAACACCAAAAAAGUAUAUUUAAAUAAAAAUAAAAUAUAUAUAUUUAAUAUAUAAUUCGGGCCGAGCUGAACUCGGGCCAAAAAAGUUUUACUCGGGGCUGGUCCGUUUUCUAAACAGACUUCGUUUUUUUUGCCAAAAUCCAUAUUUUUACCCGAAUCUUCCUAUUUUUUGGGGUGUGCCGUCGGGCCGAACUGGGUAACCGAACCAAUGAUCACCUCUGUAAUCACUGAAUUUUGUCCGGGAAUAACUUUCGUUAAAAAAAUUUUAAAAUUAAAAAAAAAUUAACUUUUUUGCUUUUUGACCCCUAAACUUUUCUAAAAUUUCAUUUUAACCCCUAAACUUUCUCAAAAUUACAGUUCAACCCCUAAACUUUUCUAAAUUACAUUUUGACCCCUAAAAUUUCUUAAAAUUACAUUUGGACCCUUACACUUUCUCAAAAUUACGUUUCGGCCCCAAAAUUUUUGCUACAUUUACAAAUUGGUCCUUCUGUCAGAAAAUCCCCAAUAAUCCGGCGGAUUUCGUGCACCUGCCCCACUAUUUCCGGCAGCCGGCCUAGGGCAUGGCCUUCCCCACCUGCUACCUGCAAACAAGAAGCAAAAUCAACUAUAAAAAGGAGUUUAAACUCCAAAAAUCGGACCCCCACCCACGAAAAAAAUAAAAAAAAAAAACUUGAAAGAAAAAGAAAAAAGCUUUGAGAAAGAAAAAGAAAAGGAAAAGAAGAGAGGGGAGAAGGAGAGGCCGACCAUCGGCGAGCCACCGGAGGAGGCGACGGCAGCAGCGGCAUCGACGGCGGCGUAGAAGACCGAACGGAGAAGAAGAAGAAGAAGAAAAAAAAAGAAAGAAGAGAAAGAAAGAAGGAAGAAGAAGAAGAAAGAAACAAAAAAAAAAGAAAAUAUUUUGUAAUAGUCGGCCCGGCCCGACUCGACCUGCACGACCCGUGACCCGACCCGACAGCACCAGCAACCUAGCAGGCCACGGUAGCAGCCCGGCGGCCCAAAGAGUAGCCCAAAAAGAAAAAAAGAAGAAGAACAAAGCAAAAAAAAAAAGCAGGCCAUUUUCAGCAGGCCCAGUGCAGCCCAGCAGACCCAGCGAACCCAGCAGGCCAGGCCCACACGCAAGCAGCCCAACAGAAAAAAAGGGAAAGAAAAAGAAAAGAAAAAAGAAAAAAGAAAAAAGAAGAAGAAGGGGUUCAAUUUGUAUUAUCCGUUCGGCGAAGCUCGUGUUUUGAGGAUUUUUUUUCGGUAAUUUUAUUUUUUAAUUUUAAUUUAAUGCUCGUAUUUUUUUUAAAUAUUAUUAGUAUUUUAUGCAUUUUUAUAUUUUGGCAUUUAUAUUUUUAAUUUAAUUUACUUCAAUUUUUAUUUUAUUUUAUUUUAAAUAAUUUUAAUAAAUGAGGCAACGAAUCGAUUUAACAUAAAAUCGUUGAUUUCAUUGCUAUGUUGGGUGAAUAUCAUCGGUUUGUGUUAAACACGAUACACCCUUUUUAAAAAAAAGAAAAAAAUCGAAAAAAUUCUAAAAUUCUCAUUUUUUUAAAAUUCUCGUGUUUUAAUAGAAUCACGAUUAAAUAUUAAGUUGAAUCGAUUUGGCACUAAUUCGAUGAUUUCAUCUCCAUGUAGGGAUGAAUAUCAUUUAUUCGUGUUAAAUAUGGUACUUCUGAAAAAAAAUCGGGUUUCAAAAAUUUUCGUGUUUUCAAAAAUUCUCAUGUUUCAAAAAUCUUCGUGUUUUAAAAAUUCCAGUGUUUCAAAAAUUUUCGUGUUUUCAAAAAAAAAUUUCUCGUGUUUUUAAAAAUUCCCGUAUAUCGAAAUUUUCUUGUUUUCAAAAAAAAAAUUCCAUGUUUCAUAAAUUUCCGUGUUUUCAAAAAAAAAUUCUUGUUUUUCAAAAAUUUUCGUUUUUAAAAAAUUUGACCGUGUUUCAUAAAUUUUCGUAUUUCAAAAAAACCUCGUGUUUCAAAAUUUUCGGGUUUUUUUAAAAACAAUUCGUGUUUCUAAAAUUCUCGUAUUUUAAAAAAAAUCGUGUUUUCAAAAAAAGAAAAAGUUGUUGUGCUUUAAAAUUAUCGUGUUUCAAUCGGAUCACGAUUAAUAUUAAAUUGAACUCGUAUUUUUGAAAAUGAAAACAACGCGCGUUUAACGAGAUACCAAUUUUGGGCGUCGCGAGGGUGCUAAUACCUUCCUCGCGCGUAACCGACUCCCGAACCUUAAUUUUCUCUGAAUUUUUACGUGGACCUAAAAUUACCUCUUUUUAGAAAAGUUUAAAAAUGAAUUUUUCUUCUAAAAAGAGAAUUUUGUAGGUGUCCGAUCACACCUAAAAAAAGAUCGGUGGCGACUCCUUUUUUUCAAAUAAAAUCGAGAUUCAGUUUUCAAGUUUUUAAUAAUUACUUCGACAAGCGCCCGUGCGCAAAAUUUUUAAGUCGCUACAGCCUCUACUUGAGACAACAGGGUUUUGCAGGGAAUUCUUACAGGUUCGUUUCUGGCGACAAAAAAGAGCUCUUCACUAUAAGCAUACAAACAAGAGCCAAAACUAUGCCUCUUAGUGAUGAUAUUAGGCCUUAUGUUAUUCCUUUUCAACAUCAAACCGUCAACCGGUAUGGUAUGUUUUUUUUAUUUAAUCUGCAAUUUGUGAUAAUUCUUUGUUAUUUAUGUAUGGAAUUUAUUGGGAGGAAAUGCUGGAAAGAAUUCAUUUACGAGAAUUGGUCCAAGAUCAAGGGUGAACAUUACGGACCCUGAAAAAUAAGAGAAAUACUUAACAAAUUUAAUGACUUCCAGAAGAUACGUACCAAUCCACUGCUUAAUUUGCUUGUAAGCGGCCUUGUUAACCUCGAAGGAGACCGAUGGAGCAAGCAUAGAAAAAUCAUAACCCUUGCAUUUCAUCAAGAUAAGUUGAAGGUAUAGAAUAGUAAUGGGUACUCAAGACUUUAAAGAAAACAUCAUACUUAAGCCUAUGCUUUUCUGAUUUAGAAAUAAUUGGAUGCAGAAUAUGUUGCCAGCAUUUUAUCAAAGUUGUAGUGACAUGUUUAAGCAAAUGGGAGAAGAUGGUGUGUACAGAAGGAUACAUUGAGUUAGAUGUGUCGCCUUAUCUCGUAGAUUUGACAAGAGAUGUUAUUUCCCGAUCUGCUUUUGGAAGCAGCUUCGAAGAAGGCAAACGAAUUUUCCAAUUACUAGAGGACCAACUCGUUCUCACAAUCAAAUUAAUACAAACUGUUUACAUUCCAGGAUGGAGGUAACCGUCUACUUUAAUUUACUUGAAAAAGGUUGCAAAUGUUGGAAUUGGCUAAAUUCGUGUUUGUUUUCUUGAAGGUUUUUGCCCACAAAGACAAACAGGGAGGUGAAGAUGAAACACAAAGACAUAAAAGAGUCGCUCAGGGAAAUGAUAAAAAGAAGAAAGCAGGCAAUUAAAGCAGGGGAAGAGAGUAAUGAGGACUUGUUGGACAUACUUGUGGAAUCCAAUAUCAGAGAAAUGGAAGCAAAGAAUAUGGGGAUGAGCAUUGAGGAUGUGAUUGAGGAAUGCAAGCUGUUUUACUUAGCUGGCCAGGAGACCACUUCGGUCUUACUGGUGUGGACUAUGGUUUUAUUAGCAAGGUAUCCCGAUUGGCAAAGUAAAGCAAGAGAGGAGGUUUUGCAUGUUUUGGGUGACAGUAAACCUGAUGCUGAUGGCCUUAAUCGUCUCAAAGUUGUAAGUCCCUAGCAUGUCUCUUGAAGGCCCGAUCUCUGAGGUCGACAACUCAAAAACUUGGUUCUUUGUUUCGCUAAUUCUACAGUUAACAAUGAUAUUGUACGAGGUUCUAAGGCUGUACCCACCAGUGAUUGAGCUAGGACGUUCCGUUCCAAAAGAAAUAAAACUGGGAAAUUUGUUGUUACCAGCAGGAACAGACGUUUCGGUUCCAAUCCUGCAGAUCCACCAUGACAAAGAUCUUUGGGGCGACGCCGCACGGGAAUUUAAGCCACAGCGGUUCACGGAAGGGGUUUCCUAAGCAACAAAGAGUCAAGUCACGUUUCUGCCAUUCGGAUGGGGUCCUAGGAUCUGCAUUGGCCAAAACUUUGCCAUGAUGGAAGCUAAAAUGGCGAUGGCUAUGAUUCUCCAACGCUUCUGGUUUGAGCUUUCCCCUUCCUAUGCUUACUCUCCUUACAACAUGGCAACUCUUCGUCCACAGCAUGGUGCACAGAUAAUUUUACAUAAACUUGGCUGUAAUUGAAUUGUUAUGUAAGCAAAUCUUUGUGAAAAUAUAGUGUUUUAGUGUAUCGUCAACGUCUGUCUGUAAUGGUACAAUUCCGAUGCAUGAAUAGUAAAUUUUGAGAUGUUUGGUGAAGUCCGAAAUAAUAUGCAGAAAUUGAGUGUCUAUGGUGGACAUAGUUGAGGGACUAAUGUGGUAAUUAUCAAUCAAAUAAUUCGGUACAAAGACUUAUAUGGAAAUUAAAGCAGGGGGAGUUGAAAAUGACUACUCUGCUUUGGGCAUCAAUUUAGAAAGAUUUAAAGUACAAAUGUGUUAUUAGUUAAGGGAUUUGUUUUAAAGAGGGAAUGACAAUUAAACCUCAUGGUUGAUUUGUGGAAGGGAACCAAUGAUGGGAUGAUUACUCUUAGUGGUGAAAAAAAAACUAUUAAGGUGGUUAUUAUAGUUGUUAUCACCAGCCUAAAAUUUGAAUAGGUUCAGGUCGGAUUAUAUUGAGCUUGCAAGAUUAGUUCACGGACCAAACUUGCAUGAUAAUAGGUAUUCACAACAAGAUAUCUAUAGUUUCCAACAAAGUCACAUGUGAGAUCGUGCAUUAGAACCGCAUAAACAUGUUUUAUGUUUAGAAUAUGAUAUGUGUCUAUGUGUAUAGAAUCUACCUAAUAUAUCAUAUUAAUGAAUAGUAUCAAUUGCGGAGCCAAAAAAUUAUUUGUGAGGGGUCAGAAUUAAAUUGUAUAUUUUUACAAAAAUAAAAAUUAAAUUUCACUAUUUUAAUAGUUUAUUUAUUUUUAAUUUUUAAAUGAUUAAAUUAAAUUUUAUAAAUUUUUAGGAUCAAAGUAUAAUUUUAUCAUUACUAAUUUAAAAUUUUAUAAAUUAUAAAAAGUUUAUAUGAAAAGUUUUCUAUUUUAGGGUGGCCAAAGCCCCUGUCAACUUCUGACUCGAUCACUUGCGGUUAGUUGGGUAAAGACUCAAGAAAAAUAGCGGUGUGUUUGGAUGGACGGUGCGUUUACUUGCGGUUAGUGUAAAAAUAGCGGUGGCGGUGAGAUUAGAUACUAUAGCAACACUGUAGCGUGAGACAAAAAGUAAGUUAAACGCACUGCACUGCACUUAAUCGUCUAUCUAAACUCACCAUAAGUGUCUAAAAUAUGAUUUAAGUGAAGAUACGUGGGGUAGGUGUCAUGGAAAUGUAAAAAAAAAAAAGAAUCCUACUAAUGUAUGGGAUGUGUACAAUUGAAUGCAGGAGUGAAUCAUUUGGGUAACAUUUGGACAAGAAACAUAAUGAACAAAAUGAAAGGAGAGGAAGCUAGUAAUAAAAGAUUCUUUUGGGUUAUAUAAUUUGUUUGGCAUAUAUUUUUAUAAUAUUUAAAUAUCAUUUUGGAGUUGUUGAAUUAUAAUUUAUUUUUAUGUUUUAAAACAUAAUUAUUCUAUUUUUAGAGGUCAGAGUAGAGGUGAGCAUGAGUCGGGCUACUCGGCUCGGGCUGAAGGCUUGCGCAAAAUGUGAGAGAUUUGGGUAAAAAUAUAGGCCCGAAAAAUGAGUUUAGACAAAAAAAAAUAUAAGGCCCGUUGAAAAAACAGGCUAGGCCUUGGGUAAGGCAUUUUGGCCCCAGACCCGGCCCAACCCAAAUUCACUAAGGGCACGUUUGGUUCGCUGUAUUGGAAUAGAGGCGUAAUGUAAUAGAGGCGUAAUGGAAUAGAGACGUAAUAGCAAAUCAAUUGUUUGGUUGAAUGUAAUGGAAUAGAGGCGUAAUAGUAUUCUUAUAUUUGGUUGAAUGGAAUAGAGUUGUAAUAGCAUAAGGAAAAAAGUUAAAAUGACUAGAAUACCCUUAGCAGAAAUUUGUUUAGAUAAAUGAUUAUUGUUAUUGUUAUUAAAUUUUAAUAAGAUUAUUAAUAUCAGUAAUAAAUAAUUUAAUCAUAUUUUAACAUAAUUAUUAUUAAAUAUAAUUUAAUAAAAAUAUAUAAUUUAAUAAAAUUCUUAAUAUUAAAUAUUCUUAAUAUUAAAUUACUAAAAUCAUAAUAUAUAAUACUAUAAAAUAUAAUUUAACAUAAUUAUUAUUAAAUAUAAUUUAAUAAAAUUCUCAAUAUUAAAUAUAUUCUUAUAUGAAUUUACUAAAAUCAUAAUAUAUAAUACUAUAAAAUAUAAUUUAAAAUAAUUAUUAUUAAAUAUAAUUUAAUAAAAAUAUAUAAUUUAAUCUAAAGUUUGAAUGUGUAUUUACCUAGCAAAAAUCAAUGAACUCUCGUGUAACUAUAACCUUAAUAAUAUAUGAUGUAUAAUUAAUAUUUCGUGACUAAUUAAUAGCAUAGAGAUAAAUAUAGUAAUGACGAAUUUAUAGUAUACGAUUAAAAUGCUAAUAAUUUAUAGUAUACAAUUAAAAUAUUAUAAAUAAAAUAAUAGUAAAUGAUAUAUAAGAUAAAUUAACAUAUAAAUAAUUCAGAUAUGUAAAGGAUAUGGCUGAAUAUGGUUGCUCCAAUAAUAAAGGAUAUAUAAUAUAUCAUGGUGUUGUUUUGUUUAGAUAGUUCGGUAACUUAGGAGGGUAUGUAUGAAGAACACAAGUUGAUGCAGAUAGAAAGACGACAAUAUUACAUGAUUACAAUAUGAUAUAGUAUAUAUAUAUAAUUUAUGGAUUCCUUGCAAUCACGUGGGUUCUCUAGCCAUUUUAUUUAGCAUAUCCAGUGAUAUUAAGAUCCAGAAUUAUAAUACAACUAAAAUCUGUGCACACUUAUGGAUGAUCCAACAAAGCCUCAGUUGGCUUUAGGUUCCAAAUCUUGCAACCCACAAACCAUAUUUGCUGGCACUGCAACAUCAAUCAUCUUAGGAUAUGCCAAGUUAAGAUCUGUUGCACCAACAAAAACAGAGGAGAAAUUGGAAGGCGAUCCGAAAAAACCCAAGGAUGCUUUUUCUUUUCUUUUUUUUUUAUAAUCUUUAUAGACUGGUUAUAUUGAGCAUCAACUUACUUUCCAUGAUGUUUUUGAAAGUCUCUUACAAAAAGGGUAUUCAACAAAUAAUAUAAUCAGACAUAUUGAUAGGACAAAUUGAAACUAGUAUUCUAUGAUCAUAAUAAAGAGUAAUCUUUAAUCAAAUGCGUGAAGGUAUUGAGAUGUCAUGCUUUUUCAUGAUUUCCUGUUUUACCAUGGCGAUGUUCAUUGGAAUAGUCCCAUCCAAGAGAAUCAAACCAAUGCUCAGCAAGAAAUGUUCAAUGCAUAUGUAAUUUUAAUUACAGAAGUUAUAUGCAGCUUAUAUGAGUUCAAGAUCAUAAAAUACUUCAUGGACAAAAGGAAACCCUUUCUUAUCACUGAAAUGAAAAUAGGCACUCUUAAUUUUCUAUUGUCAAAAGUAGCAAGCCAUUUUCCAAAGAAAAGGGAAGAUGGAUGGUUCCAGAAAGAAUACCUCAUCCUUUGUCAAGUGUGGAUUAUAUAGCAUCUCCUCUCCCACAGUGGUUACCUAUAAUCAAUGAGGUUUAUAAAAUCGAGCAAUCAUUUAUAUAUGUAAGAAAUGAUAGGAAUAAAGUUUUAUAUCUUACUGAGAAUCCUUUGUAGUCAUGAGCUGGAUAUAGCAAUGUCUCUUUCGGUAAUGUAAAAAUCUGGAUCCAUGAAACAAAUAAGUCCAUAAAUUUUAUUCAAAUUUUGACAAUUACAAUAAAAUUUUGAGAACUCAAAGAAUGUGACCAUAAAAAGUCCCCUGUCCUUACCUGUGAAUGCACUGACUUGUAGAGUUGCUGUGAACUUCCACCCUGCAAAAUGCAUUAAUCAGUGCUAGUCAAUGGCUACUGAAUGUGGGAGCAUUAGAGAAAAUUAUCUUAAAAACUUAAGUAUAACAAAAUUAGACAAUGACAUCCAGAUGGAAAGAAAUUGCCAGCAUAUAAGACCAGCAUUUAUGUACUCACGACUGAAAAUCCUUUGCAAAAAGUAUAGCCCUGAUAGUUCAAACUUUUACUUCAAGGAUGAUUUAAUUACUGAUUAGUUUGCCAUGAGGCUUGUGAAUGACAAACACUUUAUGUGCAACCACAGUAACAAGGUAAGCACCAAUAAGUAGAAGACUAGACGAAUAGGUAACCAAGAGUUAGAGCUAAAACAGACAAACAGAGCUACUAUCCAAUGAGCUAAAACAUACAAACAGAGGUAUAUUUUAAUAAUGAAAAUAAUCGAUUGCCUUAAACACCAUAUAGUGUUCCAAUCAAUCAAAUUAUAGCAGGCAUUAAAACCUUUCCCUUUCGUUAAUUCACAACUAUUAGCUUCAUUAAUCAAAUCCUAUGUACAGUUGAUCGAUUGAAAGUGUAACAUUUCAAAGACGAAAUUUAAACGCAAAACUGGUUAACAUUGAAAUUACAUGUAAAUAUAACCUAAAAAAUCAAAAAAUUAAUCAUAUUUUCAGAUUUCAGGCCGAAAUGGAAUGAAAUGAAAGGUAAAUCCAUUUUUUCCCCAAAAAAACAAAAAUAAAGAAAUAAUAUUUCAAGAACAGAUCAUUAAAUUCAUGGUAUAUAUAAAGAAAUUUAAUUGAAAUCAAAGGAAUAGAAGAAGGGAAAAGCGUACUUGGAACCAUUGCUGCUACUCUCUGUUACUCUGUUACCUCAUACGAUUCGUUAAAGGGUUGUUAGGGUUUGUUAAAAGGUUGGUCAGGAUAGAAGCAUGAAAAGGAGGGAGAAGGUUGGAAGGAAAUGGGAAGAAAAAUGAAAAAAAGAAGAAGAUGCUGCAACGGCUUGGAGGGUAAAAGAGGACCGAUUAGGUAAUCCUUUCUUUUGGAAGGGAUUACAAAUCGGCGCUGCAUAAGGGAAAAUGGGGAAUCAGUGCGCUGCGUAAUAGGCCCGUAUUAAGGCAAUACAGCCAACCAAACAUGGUAAUCAGUGGGGCCACGAAUUAGGGGUGUAUUGGCUAAUCCAAUACACCCAACCAAACAUGCUCUAAAGGACAAAAAAAUUUGAUUUUUUAAAUAUUAUUUUCUCUCUAUUUUGCUAUCAUUUUACUAUUAUGUUGCUACUAUGUUAUUGUUAUUUUUGAAUAUUGUAUAAAACUUAUUUUAUUGUUAAUUUUGUUAUUAUUUUAAAGACAUUUGUUAAUUUUGUUAUUAUUUUAGAGACAUUUGUUUGUUAAGUUGCAUCUAUCUUAGUGUUAUUUAAGUAUACAUAUUUUUUAAAAUUUAUUUUCAAUUUAUUGGGAAAUAUUUAUUUUGAUGUUUUUAGUAUUUUGGAUGUAUUAUAUAUAUUAAAAUUAUAUAAAAAUUAAUAUGGCCGAGCCAGGUCAGGCCCAGAUUUUAGCAUUUUUAUUCAGGUCGGGCUUGAGCAAAAUUUUAAGCCCAUUUUUUGGGCCAAACCAGGCCUGGGCUUAGCAAAUGGGCCUAAAUUUUUAGUCAAGCUCGACCUAAACCCGAUCCGGCCCAUGCUCACCUCUAGAUCAGAGCUGCCCUCGCUUUGCAUUUCUUUGAGAUUCAGUCUUAUCUACUGUUGAUUGCCCACUCAAUGGAGGGUUGAGUAGAAAGAUUUGGUGAAGCAAGCUAAGCUAUCAAUCAAGGUUGGAGAAAGCUUAGGAGGUCACAAUGCAUAAUUAUUUAAAUGUAAUUCUAAUAUUUAAAUAAAAUUUAUUAAUAUAGUAUUAACAAGCCCUAAAUGUAAUGAUUAUAUACUAUUACAUUUUUAAGAAGAGAAAACAUGUUUGAACCUUAAAAACAUCAUUAUUAAAAAUGAUAAUUACAAAUUUUAAAAUAUAAAAAAUAUAAUUAAAAAUUAAUUUUAAACCCGAGCUGGAUAAAAUUCUAAUUUUAGAUAACGAUACUAAUAAGAAAUCAAUAUUAAAAUGAAAAUGAAAAGUAAUUUAAUAUAAUUUUUGAGUCUUGGGCAAAGGCACUCAAUGAAUGCUUGGAAAGAAAUAAUGCAACUUGGUGAUAGCUUUUGUUGGAGUAAUAUGCUCUUAUUAUAGUUUUAUGUUUUUAUCUUGCAAAAACAACAUAUUGGAGUUUUCGGCAUGAUUUUUUCUUAAUACUUUACAUGAAAAAUAAUAAUGGGACUUAAAUUGCUACAAUAUUACAACACAAAGUUACAAUAAGAGCUUAUAACUCAACAAAGGCUAUCAAUAAAUAAUCUCAGGCAAGCUAAAGAGAAAUGUUGAGAAUACCACCCGAAUAGUGACUGACUUUAAAAGUUGAAAACCCGAAGCUAUAUUAUCUCAAACGAAAUCAAACCAUAAACAUUAAAAUUUUCAAGUCUACUAGUUACUGUAAAAAAUUCAGCUCCAACAGACACCAAAUGAGCCUUUGAUCGAAGAAAGUACGAAAAAUAGUCUAGGUAAACCAAGCUUCCAAACUUACUUAUCUUAUCUUUAAUUUGCAGUGAAAUUCAAAAUUAAGAUUUUGUUUAUUUCACUUGGAACAACUUUCAAAAAAUUAUUUUUGAAAAAUGAAUUGGUUUUUCGAAAUAGAUGAUAUUUUAUUGUGUCAAAAUUUUAUUCAUUGUAGGAAAACUUUUUUUAAAUCAUUUUCUUAGAGUUAUUUUUAGUUAAAUAAACAUAACAUAAAUAUAUUUGUUACAAAAAAUUAUACUAGUAUUUUCUUUUGACAAUUAAAAUUUAUUUUAUGGUAAGACAAUAUUUUAUAAUAAUUAAUAUCAUAUAUAUACGUAAUAAAAAUCAUGUUUAAUUAAAAUUUAAUUAAAAUUAGAUGUAUUAAUAAAGCUACUCCUCCACAACCCGCAUCCGCAACAGCACCAGCACCAGCACCAGCACCAGCAUCAGCACCAUGGGACAACUAUUGGGUUUCCUCCACCUGCCUCUAUCGCUCCUCCUCAGUAUUACCCCCAAGCCUACCAGACCGUGCCGGGUAUUCUACAAAUAUGAAAAAACCUUCUUCUCUUUUUAUUAGCUUAUCGAAAUGAAGGAUUUUGAGAUUUGGGCUUUUGUUAGAUGGAUGGUUAAUGAUAUUUUUUAGAUGAAAGAUACAAGUUUUUUAAUGUUUUAGAAGAAAAGGUGUUUAAAUAUUAGGAGUUUUUUAGCAGAGAAAGAAGAUAAAUAAAUGCAUAGAGAUACAUUAGCAAUAUUAUUUGGAUUUGGUUGUCUAAUGUAAUGAAGAAUUUUUUAAGGGUGACCUGAGUAGGUGUGGCAAGAUUCAAAGUUUUUUCUAUUAUAGCAGAUAUAUAUAUAUUAAUGGUUUAAGAAGACUAGAAGUCGGUUUCAAAGGAAGAUGAGAAAUAAAAGCAUUUAUAUAUAUGAUAUGUCAUUAAUUCAUAAACCAAAUAUAUAAAGUAUGUAAAAGUGUCAGGGGUUAAUCAUGGUGUUUUGACAAUCCGGUAACCUUCAACUUGAAGAAAACCUUAGGUUUCAAAAAUUUAUGUGAAGAGUUAGAAUGGUAUGCUUCAUGGAUCUGAAUAACUAGAACAGUGUAAGAGUGGUAUAUUGUGUCAAGUUUGGUUUCUUGUAUAUAAUUGUAUCGAAAACAAUGUUACAUGAGUUAAAAUGAAUGUUCAUCCAAUUUAACAAAGCCUGCAUUAUGUUGAUCAAAAUUUUUAAUUCAUGUUGAGGUUUCUUCCGUGAUAUCUUUGAUGUCAAGGUUAUGAUGUUGCUGAAGGGACACCUGUAAGAGAUAAGCCACCGUGCUGUGGCAUUGGAUUCGGAUGGUUCUUGUAAGUGUACAUAGUUUUCUUUGUUUUUAAAGAGUUCUUUACAUAUGAAGUAAAACAAGUAGCGACUUGAUGGAUAUGUCAUUAAGCUUUAACUUAAGCAAAUCAUUUUCCUUCAUCUCUAAUUGCCAUUUCUUUAAAAGAAAAAGAGGAAGUUUUGUAGUUUACAGUUUGGACAAAUGGAAGUUAAUAUAAUGCACUAUUUGGAUGGACUAUGGAGAUAUCCAAUCAUAUUGGAUGAGUUAUAAGAAACCUGUGAGUUCAUAUUGGGUUUACUUUAUAUCAUAAUUAGAUUGUUGAGCUGGCUGUCAUACUUAGAUGGUAUUUCACGUUGCUACUUGUUAAACUAUACCACUUUCACAUUCAUACGUGAAAUGGCUGGGAUUUAGUGCCAUUCUACUUAGCAGCCUCGUGUAAUACACAGGUGAAAUGUUUAUGUCUUCAUGUCACCUUAAAGUUCCCAUUUCCAUGACGGUAUUGUUAAGUAAAGACUGGUACAUACCCCAAAAUACGGAAAUUGUUUUGGAUGUAUACUAUACUUUACCAUGCAUGAUUUUUUACAAGUUUGCAUGGUAUUUUAUCAUUAUAUUGGUCUUUAUUUUCUAUACUCGCAGCUUCCAUUAAUAUAUUUUUAUGAAUUUUAUCAUUAUGCUGGUUUGAAGGUUCAUCAUUGGUUUCUUCAUUGGGGGCCAUCCCUGGUAUAUUGGAUUCUUUGUUUUACUUUGUGCAAGGAUAGACGACAGAGAGAAAGCAGGAUAUAUUGCAUGCACAAUUGCCGUGAGUAUCUUUUCUAUCAUUAUUUUUUUCUUUUCCAAUUUUAUGAAAGCCAUCCUUCCUGCCUUGUAUUGAUCAUCAAUUUAACCAUUAUAUAUAUGUAUCUUAUGUAUUUGUACCAUGCUUUAUCUUCAAUGCAAAUAUAAGUUAAACUACAAAGAUUGGAUUGUUAAAAAAAGUUUAAAAUGUUAAAAAAAUUGAAAAUUUUGAUUUUGUAAGAAUGAUAGAAAACCAAGGCCAGUGCUUGCAUAUGUUAUCUACUACAUGCACAAUCGGGUCGAUGUCUGUAUAUGUUUCAUGUUUAGAAAUCGUGUUCAAUUGGGUUACGAUAUGUACAAUUGAAGUGUCAAUUUAUAAUUUCCUUAUCAAGAUUACACAUUUUUUUGUUAAUAUUCGGAAUCACUCAAUGGUUAUAAACCCUGAUUGGAUACUGUCCACAAAGUCUAGUUGGAACAUCCCUUGUAUUCUUUGUCCUUUCUAAGAACUUUCCUUUCCAUCAUUCUCGCUUCUGUUUUUUUUUUCUUCCCUCUACUUUAAGUCAUUAUCUAACGUAGAUAUCCCUUGUAUUCUUUGUCCUUUCUAUGGCAAUCGAGUCAAUUGAUGGCAAGCCAAAAAAACAAAAAGAGCAGCUAUCCUGUCUUACUCGAUUGCCAUCCCUCCUGUUAAACACCAUUAAGAAAAGGAAAAUUUUAGUUAAGCUUUAAAACAGCCAUGUUUUAACGAUGUUGGUGAUGGUGCUUGUGCAGGCCCUUCUUGCUACAAUUACAAUUAUUCUUAGUGCAACAAUUAAAGCUGGUGGGUGAUAAAGCACACCUCUUUUGACUGAGAGAUGUAUAGGUUCCCAAAUAAUAUGUAUAUGCUCCCCCCCCUCCCUUUAUUUUAUUUUAUUUCCAGUAAGUUAUUGUUUAUGAUAAUUUGCAACAAAUGUUUUUGUCAUUAUUUUGUUGGUGAAUGAUAAUAAGAUUAAGCUUUACUUUCUUAAGCUCCAAUUCCUUGGACGUUGGUGAUUUUUUUAUUAUAGUUGAGUCAUUGUAUGGUAUUAAUAUAAUUUAUGUCGCUUAAAAUUUAUAACUAAAAAUAUAAAAUUUAAAUUUUACUUCAAUUUAUUUGUAUUUAUAAAUGGUUAAUUCAAACUUAUUUUUUUCCUCAUUAUAUUUUAUAUUUAAAUUAACAUUUAAACUAUUUUUCAUUAGCAAUGUUGUUAAGAAUUAUAUUUUUUAGCACCAACAUCAAACUUACUAAAAUUAAAUUUUUAACUAUUUAAAAAAAAUAUUUUUAGCUAUUUAUCAUCAUAGAGAAAAAAAGGUGACGUCACCACGCCUCAUGCUUCGACACCACAAACUAGACUCUCAUCACCCGUAUUUAUCAUCGAUUCAAAUUCCAGAACUACCUAAAAAUAUAUCUUCAAACUUCCUCUGGUUAAGUUCAUUGAUAGUCAACUUACUAUCAUUUCUAAAAAAAAAACAAAUAAAUUGGUUAAUAGUAAUCUCAAUGAUUCAAUUUUAUUCUUACCAGUAUCUGUCCUUUAGAAAGGGGCUUAUAAAAGGGGUAGAGGUGAGUAAACUUGAGCUUCAGCUUUCCACAAACACCUUAAUUUGAAGACACAGUUCUCUCAUACUAAAAAAGACAUGGAAGUUUACCUUGUAAUUAGAGAUUUGGUUUCAUUGCUUGUUGUUGGGUUAUUAAUGAUAUGGGGAUGCAGAACUUUAAACUGGGUAUGGCUGGCCCCAAAAAGGCUCGAAAGCUGCUUGAGACAACAGGGUUUUGCAGGGAAUCCUUACAGGUUCCUUUCUGGUGACAUAAAAGAGCUCUCAACUAUGAGCAGACAAACAAGAGCCAAACCUAUGCCUCUUAGUGAUGAUAUUGGGCCUUAUGUUGUUCCUUUUCAACAUCAAACUGCUAACCAGUAUGGUAUGUUUUUUUUGUUUAAUCUGCAAUUUAUGAUAAUUCUUUGUUAUUUAUGUAUGGAAUUUAUUGGGAGGAAAUGCAGGAAAGAAUUCAUUUACGUGGUUUGGUCCAAGACCAAGGGUGAACAUUACGGACCCUGAAAAAAUAAGAGAAAUACUUAACAAAUUUAAUGACUUCCAGAAGAUACAUACCAAUCCACUGCUUAAUUUGCUUGUAAGCGGCCUUGCUAACCUCGACGGAGACCGAUGGAGCAAGCGUAGAAAAAUCAUAAACCCUGCAUUUCAUCAAGAUAAGUUGAAGGUAUAGAAUAGUGAUGGGUAAUCAGACUUUACAGAAAACAUCAUACUUAAACCUAUGCUUUUCUGAUUUAGAAAUAAUUGGAUGCAGAAUAUGUUGCCAGCAUUUUAUCAAAGUUGUAGUGACAUGUUAAGCAAAUGGGAGAAGAUGGUGUGUACAAAAGGAUACAGUGAGUUAGAUGUGUGGCCUUAUCUCGUAGAUUUGACAAGAGAUGUGAUUUCCCGAUCUGCUUUUGGAAGCAGCUUCGAAGAAGGCAAACGAAUUUUCCAAUUACUAGAGGACCAACUCGUUCACAUAAUCAAAUUAAUACAAACUGUUUACAUUCCAGGAUGGAGGUAACCGUCAACUUAAUUUACUUGAAAAAGGUUGCAAAUGUUGGAAUUCGCUAAAUUCGUGUUUGUUUUCUUGAAGGUUUUUGCCAACGAAGACAAACAGGGAGAUGAAGAUGAAACACAGGGACAUAAAAGAGUUGCUUAUGGAAAUGAUAAAGAGAAGGGAGAAGGCAAUUAAAGCAGGGGAAGAGAGCAAUGAGGACUUGUUGGACAUACUUGUGGAAUCCAAUAUCAGAGAAAUGGAAGCAAAGAAUAUUGGGAUGAGCAUUGAGGAUGUGAUUGAGGAAUGCAAGCUGUUUUACUUAGCUGGCCAAGAGACCACUUCGGUCUUACUGGUGUGGACUAUGGUUUUAUUAGCAAGGUAUCCCGAUUGGCAAAGUAAAGCAAGAGAGGAGGUUUUGCAUGUUUUGGGUGACAGUAAACCUGACGCUGAUGGCCUUAAUCGUCUCAAAGUUGUAAGUCCCUAGCAUGUCUUUUGAAGGUCCGAUCAAUGAGGUCGACAACUCAAAAACUUUGUUUCUUUUUUCGCUAAUUCUACAGGUAACAAUGAUAUUGUACGAGGUUCUAAGGCUGUACCCACCGGUGGUUGAGCUAGAACGUUCCGUUCCAAAAGAAAUAAAACUGGGGAAUUUGUUGUUACCAGUAGGAACAGAAGUUUCGGUUCCGAUCCUGCUGAUCCACCAUGACAAAGAUCUUUGGGGCGAUGACGCACGGGAAUUUAAGCCAGAGCGGUUCGCGGAAGGGGUUUCCAAAGCAACAAAGAGUCAAGUCACGUUUCUGCCAUUCGGAUGGGGUCCUAGGAUCUGUAUUGGCCAAAAUUUUGCUAUGAUGGAAGCCAAAAUGGCGAUGGCUAUGAUUCUCCAACGCUUCUGGUUCGAGCUUUCCCCUUCCUAUGCUCACUCUCCUUACGGCAGGGCAACUCUUCGUCCACAGCAUGGUGCACAGAUAAUUUUACAUAAACUUGGCUGUAAUUGAAUUGUUAUGUAAACAAAUCUUUGUGAAAACAUAGCGUUUUAGUUUAUCGUCAAAGUCCGGUGUCUGUAAUGGUACAAAUUCGAUGCAUGAAUAGUAAAGUUUGAGAUGUUUGGUGAAGUCCGAAAUAAUAUGCAGAAAUUGAGUGUGGUAAUUAUCAAUCAAAUAAUUCGGUACAAAGACUUACAUGGAAAUUAAAGCAGGGGGAGUUGAAAAUGACUACUCUGCUUUGGGCAUCAAUUUAGAAAGAUUUAAAGUACAAAUGUGUUAUUAGUUAAGGGAUUUGUUUUAAAGAGGGAAUGACAAUUAAACCUCAUGGUUGAUUUGUGGAAGGGAACCGAUGAUGGGAUGAUUAUUCUUAGUGGUAAAAAAAACUAUUGUGGAGGUUAUUAUACUUGUUAUCAUCGGCUUAAAAUUCGAAUGGGUUCAAGUCGGAUUAUAUCGAGCUUGUAAGAUGAGUUCACGGAUCAAAUUUGCAUAAUAAAAAUACUUAAAUGAAAAAAAUUUCUAUUUUAGAGGGACCAGAGCCCCUACCAAUUCCCGGCUCAGCUACUAAACAAUACCCAUAUCAUAUAAAUAAAUACCACCAUAAAAAAAACUCAAAGAAAAACACUGACAAAUGAUAAAUAGAUAGAUGUUGGAUAAGUGUCCAAAAUAUGAUUUAAGUGAAGAUACAUGGGGUAGGUGUCACGGAAAUGUGAAUACAAGAAUACUACUAAUGGGAUGUGUACAGUUGAAUGUAGGGAGCAAAAAGAGGAGUGAAUCAUUUUGGUAACAUUGGGACAAGAAACAUAAUGAACAAAAUGGAAGGAGAGGAAGCUAGUAAAAGAAAUUUUUUGGGUCAUAUAAUUUGUUUGGCAUAUAUUUUUAUAAUUUUUAAAUAUCAUUUUGGACUUGAAUUAUAAUUUUUUUAUAUAUUAUCUUAAAAUUGUAUAAAUUUUAAGGAGUUAAAACAAAAUUAUUCUAUUUUUAGAUGGUUAAAGUAGAGAUGAUAAUGGGUUGAGCUAUUCGGCCCAGCCUGACGAUCCACCCGAAAAAUAGGAAGGUUUGGGUAAAAAUAUAGGCUUGAAAUAUGAAUUUGAGCAAAAAAAGAGGCCCGUUUAGAAAAUGGGCCGAGCCUCGGGUAAAACCUUUUGGGUCUAGACCUGACCUAAAUUAUAUAUUAAAUAUAUAUAUUUUUAUUUUUAAUCAAAUAUACUUUUGUUUUAUUAUUAAUUUGGUUAUUAUUUUAGUUCUAAUUUGUUUCAAUUUUAAUAUAACUACUUUUUAUUAUAUUUUCAAUUUGUGCAUUGUUUUAAGAAUUAUUUUAGUCUCAUUAUUUAUUUAUUUUUUAUUUUAAUAUUUGUUUUAAAAUUUUUUAUUUAUUGAAAUAAGCUAAAAAAAUUAAUAUGGGUUGGACCAGACCGGGCUCGGGCCUAGUAAUUUUCUUUUGGGCCGGACUUAAACAAAUUUUUAAGCCCAUAUUUUGAAUUGGGUCCUACACUAGAAAAUGGACCUAAAAUUUUGUAUUACCUUUAGGUCAGAGCUAUCCUCGUUUUGCAUUUCUUUGAGAUUCAGCCUUAUUUACUUUUGAUUGCCCACUCAAUAGAGGGUUGAGUAGAAAUAUUUGGUGAAGCAAGCUAAGCUAUCAAUCAAGGUGUGCAUAAUUAUUUAAAUGUAAUUCUAAUAUUAAAAUAAAAUUUUUAUUAAUAUAGUAUCAACAAGCAUUAAAUGUAAUCAUCAUAUACUAUUAAAUUUUCAAUAAGAGAAAACAAGCUUGAACUUUAAAAACGAUGUUACUAAAAACAUUAUCACAAAUCUUGAAAUAUAAAAAAUACUUUUUAAUAUAAUAAAAAAAUAAUUUUAAAACCGAGAUGAAUAAAAUUCUAAUUUUAAUUAAUGAUACCAACAACAAAUCAAUAUUUAAAUUAAAAUUUAUCUUAAUUUAAUAUAAUAAAAUUGGACUUGAAUAUUGAAUUUUUGAGUCUUGGGCAAAGUAGAGGUGCUCAUGGGCCGGGUUGGGUCGGGUUUGGGAAAAAUUUCGGCCCGCAUCCUAGGCUCGGGCUCGGCCCGACCCAAAUAUGGGCCUAAAAUUUUGUCUAGGCCUAGCCCGGCCCGGCCCAACUCAUUUUUUUUAAUAAACACCAAAAAUUUAUUUUGAAAAUAAAAAAAUAAAAAAAGUAUUUUAAAAAUAUUUUAAAAUUUUUAAAAAAUAUAUAUAUUUAUUAUAUAUUCGGGCCGGGCCAGGCCCGAGCCAAAAAAGUGGCGCCCAAGGCCCGGCCUGUUUUCUAAACGGGACUCAUUUUUUACCCAAACCCAUAUUUCGGGCCUAUAUUUCUACCCGAAUCUCUCAUAUUUAGGGCGAACCGUCGGGCCGGACCGGGCCGCCCGGCCAUGAACACCUCUAGGACAAAGUCACUCAAUGAAUGCAUGGAAAGAAAUAAUGCAACUUGGUGAUAGCUUUUGUUGGAGUUAUAUGCUUUUUUUUUACGUAGUGGAACUUUCGGUGGAUUUUCAAGUUUCAUGAACUUUAUACUCUAUGCUUUACGUGAAAAAAAAAAUUCAUUGGACUUAAAAGUCUACCAAAAGUUUCACUAAAAAAAAAACCAUUGCUACAAGAUUACAACAUAAAGUUACAAUAAGAGCUUAUAACUCAACAAAGGCUAUCAAUAAAUAAUCUCAAACAAAUUAAAGAGAAAUGUUGAGAGUACCACUCGAAUAGUGAUUAACUUUAAAAAUUGAAAACCCAAAGUUAUAAUAUCCCAAACGAAAUCAAACCAUAAACAUUAAAUUUUUCGAGUCUACUAGAUACUGCAAAAAAUUCAGCUCCAACAGACACCAAAUGAACCUAUGAUCGAAGAAAAUACGAAAACUAGUCUAGCUAAAUCAAGCUGCCAAACUUACUUUUUAUCUUAUCUUUAAUUUGCUGUGAAAUUCAAAACUAAGGUUUUGUACUUAGAACAACUUUCAAAAAGUUAAUUUUGAAAAAUGGAUUGAAUUUUCAAAAUAGAUGAUAUUUUAUUGUGUUAAAAUUUUAUUCGUUGUUUGAAAAAAAAUUUAAAUCAUUUUCUUAGAAUUAUUUUUAGUGAAACAAACAUAUCAUAAAUAUAUUUGUUAUAAAAUAUUUAUAUUAAUAUUUUCUUUUAACAAUUAAAAUAUAUUUUGUGAUAAGGUAUAUUUUAUAAUAAUUAAUAUCAUAUAUACUUAAUAAUAAAUCAUGUCUAAUUAAAAUUUAAUUUCAAUUAAAUAUAUUAAUAAAGCUACAUAUAAUCAUAUUUUAUAUAAUAAAAAUAUUAAUAUAAAUAUUUUUUUAAUAAUAUAUUAAAGAAUAUUUAAAAUUUAAAUUUAUUAUUACUAAGAUUAAUUAUUAAAAUAAAAAUGUAAUGUUAAAUAAUUUAUCCAAUGAUAAGUUAUAUUAAUAAUUUAUUAUAUUAUUAAAUAUAAAUAAUUAAAUAUGUAUGUUUAAUAAUAUUAUGUUAUAAUAUUUAUUAUUAAUAUUUUAAUAUUUUUAAACAACCAUGUUUUAAAGAUGGUGGUGAUGGUGAUGGUGCAGGCCCCCUUGUUACAAUUACAAUAUUUUUAAGUGGGAUGCAUGUAAUAUAUUGUUAGGGUUUUAGAGUGUGUGGUCUUUAAAAGGGUUAAAUUAUAUAUUUAUAUAAUAUGAUUAUUGUUUAUAAAUAUAAUAUUGUAGAUAAACUUUUAUGCAUGUCAAUAUGUAUCCUACUCUGGGGUUAAUAUGUAUUUUUAGAUAUGGAUUCACCUAUAUAAUAGUAUGAAUCCAUCAUGCGGUCUCAUGAAAUAUACAAACACAUAUCGUGCGAACACAAAGUACGAACAAUAAAAAGUACAAAUCAAGACCAAUUGAGUAAUUGAAUAGCAGAUAGGUAAUAAUGACUAUCCCCUCUUGUUUGAAUUUAUUUUAUUUCCAGUGAGUUAUCGUUUAUGAUAAAUUUACAACAAAUGUUUUUAUCAUUAUUUUGUUGGUAAAUGAUAAUAAGAUUAAACUUUACUUUCUUAAGCUCCUUCAAUUCUUUGGACGUUAGCAAGUAAACUUGAGCUUCAGCAUUCCACAAACACCUUAAUUUGAAGACACAGUUCUCCCAUACUAAAAACAACAUGGACGUUUACCUUGUAAUUAGAGAUUUGGGCUCAUUGUUAGGUUAUUAAUGAUACGGGGAUGGAGAGCUUUAAACUGGGUAUGGCUGGCCCCAAAGAGGCUCGAAACGUGCUUGAGACUAGAGGUCCAGGCAAAUUUUUAGGCCCAUUUUUUAGGCCUGGACUGGGCCCGACUCGAAAUAUGAGCUUAAAAAUUUGUCUAAGUUCGGUCCAAAAGAAAAUUGUUAAGCCUAAGCCCGGCCCAUAUUAAAUUUUACAACACCAAAAAACUAUAUAUUUAAUAUAUAUAUUUGAUUAAAAAGUAUAUUUAAUUAAAAAUAAAAAUAUAUAUUUAAUAUAUAAUUCGGGCCGGGCCGAACUCGGGCCAAAAAAGUUUUACUCGGGGCUGGUCCGUUUUCUAAACAGACCUCGUUUUUUUGUCAAAAUCCAUAUUUUAGGCUUAUAUUUUUACCCGAAACUUCCUAUUUUUCGGGUGAACCGUCAGGCCGGACUAGGUAGCCCAACCAAUGAUCACCUCUACUUGAGACAACAGGGUUUUGCAGGGAAUUCUUACAGGUUCGUUUCUGGCGACAUAAAAGAGCUCUUCACUAUAAGCAUACAAACAAGAGCCAAACCUAUGCCUCUUAGUGAUGAUAUUGGGCCUUAUGUUGUUCCUUUUCAACAUCAAACCGUCAAUCAGUAUGGUAUGUUUUUUAAUUUAAUCUGCAAUUUAUGAUAAUUCUUUGCUAUUUAUGUAUGGAAUUUAUUGGGAGGAAAUGCUGGGAAGAAUUCAUUUACGUGGAUUGGUCCAAGAUCAAGGGUGAACAUUACGGACCCGGAAAAAUAAGAGAAAUACUUAACAAAUUUAAUGACUUCCAGAAGGUACGUACCAAUCCACUGCUUAAUUUGCUUGUAAGCGGCCUUGUUAACCUCGAAGGAGACCGAUGGAGCAAGCAUAGAAAAAUCAUAACCCUUCAUUUCAUCAAGAUAAGUUGAAGGUAUAGAAUAGUGAUGGGUACUUAGACUUAAUUUACAGAAAACAUCAUACUUAAAUCUAUGCUUUUCUGAUUUAGAAAUGAUUGGAUGCAGAAUAUGUUGCCAGCAUUUUAUCAAAGUUGUUGUGACAUGUUAAGCAAAUGGGAGAAGAUGGUGUGUACAGAAGGAUACAGUGAGUUAGAUGUGUGGCCUUAUCUUGUAGAUUUGACAAGAGAUGUGAUUUCCCGAUCUGCUUUUGGAAGCAGCUUCGAAGAAGGCAGACGAAUUUUCCAAUUACUAGAGGACCAACUCGUUCUCACAAUCAAAUUAAUACAAACUGUUUACAUUCCAGGAUGGAGGUAACCCUCAACUUAAUUUACUUGAAAAAGGUUGCAAAUGUUGGAAUUGGCUAAAUUCGUGUUUGUUUUCUUGAAGGUUUUUGCCAACAAAGACAAACAGGGAGAUGAAGAUGAAACACAGACAUAAAAGAGUCGCUUAGGGAAAUGAUAAAGAGAAGGGAGAAGGCAAUUAAAGCAGGGGAAGAGAGCAAUGAGGACUUGUUGGACAUACUUGUGGAAUCCAAUAUCAGAGAAAUGGAAGCAAAGAAAAAGGGGAUGAGCAUUGAGGAUGUGAUUGAGGAAUGCAAGCUGUUUUACUUUGCUGGCCAGGAGACCACUUCGGUCUUGCUGGUGUGGACUAUGGUUUUAUUAGCAAGGUAUCCCGAUUGGCAAAGUAAAGCAAGAGAGGAGGUUUUGCAUGUUUUGGGUGACAGUAAAC
rnacentral:lncRNA from 1 species